rnacentral:rRNA from 1 species
UGGGGAAUAUUGCACAAUGGGCGGAAGCCUGAUGCAGCAACGCCGCGUGAGUGAUGAAGGUCUUCGGAUUGUAAAGCUCUGUCUUUUGGGACGAUAAUGACGGUACCAAAGGAGGAAGCCACGGCUAACUACGUGCCAGCAGCCGCGGUAAUACGUAGGUGGCGAGCGUUGUCCGGAUUUACUGGGCGUAAAGGGUGCGUAGGCGGAUGUUUAAGUGAGAUGUGAAAUACCCGGGCUUAACUUGGGUGCUGCAUUUCAAACUGGAUAUCUAGAGUGCAGGAGAGGAGAAUGGAAUUCCUAGUGUAGCGGUGAAAUGCGUAGAGAUUAGGAAGAACACCAGUGGCGAAGGCGAUUCUCUGGACUGUAACUGACGCUGAGGCACGAAAGCGUGGGUAGCAAACAGGAUUAGAUACCCUGGUAGUCCACGCCGUAAACGAUGAGUACUAGGUGUAGGAGGUAUCGACCCCUUCUGUGCCNCAGUAAACACAUUAAGUACUCCGCCUGGGAAGUACGAUCGCAAGAUUAAAAC